GCUUGUUUUACGGUACCUUUUACCACUACUAAAAAAAGGAGAGGUAUGAUUUGAGUUAACGGUUAGGAUUUAGCGAGAUAGAUUAAGCCCAGUAACCCACCAACACGUAGAUAAUGGAAAAAAAGAUAAUAGUAUUCGGCCCAGCCCAUUCGUCUGCCUAGUCGGUUGCCCAAGGAGGCGGAGUCCAGAAGCGAGCGUCGCCGCCGAGCAGGGACGCCGCCGCCUCAUCCGCUCCGCUGCCACAACUCCGCCGAGACGCGUGCGCCACAGCCUCCGCCUCCACAUCAAUCAGGGCCGCCGCCGCCUCAUCCGCUCCGUUGCCGCAACUCCGUUGAGCGGCGUGCGCCGCUGCCUCCGCCACCGCCUCGUCCGCUCCGCUGCAACAACUCCGCCGCCUCCACGUCGCAGACGACCCCUUCCCAUACGACCGGGCAUGCCCCCACCAGCUCGGCCAUGUCCUGCAUCGCCGCCGUAAUCCUCUGUUCUUGUCUUGGAUAUGGUAGCAGGUUCAGGUUCUGAUGAAUCAUGUUGGUCAGGUGAUGGUCUGUGCAAGUUGAGUCUGAUUGUGCUUCGGCGGAGUCAUCAUUCCAGAAAAAGGGCUGUCAUGUGUAUAUAUGUACCAUUCACACGGAAAUUAUCUUAUUCUGUGAUAUACUUCCUGAGUUUUGAGCAAUCAGAUGAGUUUGCGCCCUAUAUUAGAAGAAGGGUUGUGUAUGACAUAUACCGCUGUUAAUGAUUGUAACUACAUUGUUUUGCUCAUGAAUAAAGUUAUCUCUGUGAGUUGUGAGAAA